AGUAUUUAAGAAUACUAAAAUAAAAAAAUAAAAAGAUAAAGACAAACAAAAUAAAGUAAAAAUGGUUCCUCGUAUAAUUUUUAUUCUCUCUCAAGAUAAAAGGUAUUUUACUAUUUGAUAUGUAUUUUGUCUUUUAGUCUAUUAGACAAAUUUUCUAUCUCACAAAAAGCAAAAAAGUGUCUAUCUCUCUAAUUUUAAAAAAAAAAUUACCUACUUUACAAAUUAUUUUUGAAAAAGUGUCUACUUUGCCAAUAAACCCCUAAUUAUCUAAAAC
rnacentral:sRNA from 1 species